CGUGUCGUGAGAUGUUGGGUUAAGUCCCGCAACGAGCGCAACCCUUGUUACUAGUUGCCAGCAUUCAGUUGGGCACUCUAGUGAGACUGCCGGUGACAAACCGGAGGAAGGUGGGGACGACGUCAGAUCAUCAUGCCCCUUAUGACCUGGGCUACACACGUGCUACAAUGGACGGUACAACGAGUCGCGAACUCGCGAGGGCAAGCUAAUCUCUUAAAACCGUUCUCAGUUCGGACUGCAGGCUGCAACUCGCCUGCACGAAGUCGGAAUCGCUAGUAAUCGCGGAUCAGCAUGCCGCGGUGAAUACGUUCCCGGGCCUUGUACACACCGCCCGUCACACCAUGAGAGUUUGCAACACCCAAAGUCGGUGGGGUAACCCUUCGGGGAGCUAGCCGCCUAAGGUGGGGCAGAUGAUUAGGGU
rnacentral:rRNA from 1 species